GAUGAACGCUGGCGGCGUGCCUAAUACAUGCAAGUCGAGCGAACAGGCGAGGAGCUUGCUCCUCUGACGUUAGCGGCGGACGGGUGUGUAACACGUGUAUAACCUACCUAUAAUACUGGGAUAACUUCGGGAAACCGGAGCUAAUACCGGAUGAUCUAUUGAACCGCAUGGUUCAAUAGUGAAAUACGGUGGUGCUGUCACUUAUAGAUGGAUCUGCGCCGCAUUAGCUAGUUGUUAAGGUAACGGGUUACUAAGGCGACGAUGCGUAGCCGAACUGAGAGAGUGAUAGCCGACCUGGGAGGGGAGACAGGCACAAGGGUCCUACGAGAGGCAGCAGAAGGGAACGGGACGCAGUAGGGGAGAGCAUUACGGAGCAACGCGAAGCGUGAUGUGAAGGCCUUCGGAUCGUGAUAAUCUCCUACGAGGGAUAAACCACUGUGUAAGGAAACGUGGAGUUAUUGACGGUAACUGGUAAGGAAGCACCGGCUAACUACGUG
rnacentral:rRNA from 1 species